UUAUAUUACAAAAAGUAUUUACAAGCUCACAUCUCGUCAUUUUCUCACUCUUAAAAUUUUACUCUCCCUUAUCUCUAAAACUUCAGCCGCCGCCUGCGUUUAGGGUUACCGGUUCCGGUGGCUUUCUCAGCACCGGAACCGAAGUCUUUUGUUUUGCUCUUAUUCUAUCUUUUUUCUUUAGACACAUCUGAGAGAUUUUUUUCCAACGGUUGUGAAUCUGAAUUUUCAGAUCUAGAUAUUUAAAGUCUAAAACUUUUUCUUUUUAGGUUUUUGCUGUUUGUCUUUUGUCUUUUUCAAGAACAGAGUCAGAUCUGGCCGAUCCAUCCAAGGCAGAAGCGUUUCUAUCCAAAUUUUCGCCUCAGACUUCUGAAAUUCCACCUGAAGAUCCCGAUCUCGUUCUCUCCUUCAUGAGGCUCUCACUCCUUUGGGUCUCUGGAUGAUGGUUUUAUCUCAUCGCCCAUUCGUGUUUAGGUUGAGUUAAGUGAGGCUUCUAGUCUCAGAUCUAUCAGUUUAUCAUUGUUGUUUUAGACUUUGUAUAUUUCGUUUGAACUCUUGGAUUUUGGGUCUGGGAAGUACUUGAUCAGAUGUGAUGUAAUUUGUUAGAUCGGUUUUUUUCCCCUUUGUUUCAUUUAAAUAUGUUUUUAGUUCCUGGAAGGUCCCAUGUACUCUCCGGCUUUUAGAAGAGUGUUUCUCUUGUCAGCUCUUGUACUCAGAUCUUCUAUCAAUGAAAUCUAUAUUUCCAGUGAAAAAAAAAAUAGUUAUAGAUAGAUGUUGGUCUGAGACUCUCCGACUCAU
rnacentral:sRNA from 1 species